AGUUAGACAUGCCACACUUCUGUGGGCAAGUGUUUGGUUCGUGACUAACUUUAGGCAGCCACAAAAAGUGUGGCGAGGUUCCCUGAGCUUGCCAUACUUUUUUUCGCCGCAUCUGGGGCGCUCGUUUUCGAUGCCCCAGCACCGCUACGCGCCGCACUUCGCCCCCUUCUCUCCCUCUCAUGCCGCUGGUUGAUCUCUCGUCAUCUCCUCCUCCAAGCACGGAUCUUCUCGUCGUCUCCUCCAAGCACGGAUCAGGAGCACUGAAAUUCUAUCUCAACCGGUUCUGCCGACUGGAUAACUUGAAUUCUAAAGAUGGGUGUGAAGGAGAUGUAUCUUCAAUAUUACAAUAGUUACAUCCAGUACCUACGAAGAAGAAGGGUGCUUAUUUACAUUACCAUUUGUGUGGUUUUUCUUUGGUACAAACUGAAUAGAUUACAUAGGAAGAGUGUUAAAUAUGGUCCUUUGUUACAACGAGAUUUGGAACGAGAGAGGCGGCUCAACCGGUUGUAUAAUGGGACAGAAGCCAAUUGUAUUAGUGAGUUGCGCAUGCGCAAAUUUGUUUUCCAUAGGUUAUGUAGCCAUUUAAGGUCUCGUAGGUUGUUAGAGGAUAAUGUCAAUGUCUCUGUUGAAGAACAAGUUGCUAUGUUCUUAAAGUUUGUUGGUCAUAGAUGGACAAAUAGGUCAGUUGGGUUUGAAUUCAUGCGGUCCGGAGAAACAGUUAGCAGGUACUUCAACCUUGUUUUAGAUGCUCUAUGUGUCAUGUCACGUGACCUCAUUACCAUGAGAACCACAGAGAACCACAGGGACACAACCAAAGGUCUCGUAGGUUGUUAGAGGAUGCUCUAUUUGAGUCAUGGGUAUUGAAGCAUUUAAGUGAUUUGGACCUGUGAAUCGACUAGGUUGAUCCAAGCAGGAGGUGAAUGUGUGAUGGUUGGUUAUUUUGCAUUUCUUCUAGGUUGAUGCAUGACGGUUCAUGGAGAAGGCUGGUGGUUGUGAUAGCUAUCACACACUCUUUUGGUUAAUAAUUAGAUACUCUUUUUGUUGAGCAAUGUGAACCUUUAAUGGUGUUUAUGGGUCUUGUGGAGUUGUGAUGGGGCUAUUAUGAAGAUGCUAUGGCCUGUUAUGGAUGAUUGGACAUGUUAUGGGCUCUAUAUAUUAAUCUGUUAGUUUGGUUUCCUCAUAUUCAUCAUGUCAUGGGGCUAUUAUGAAGGUUCUUGCAGCUGCUAAAGUGCAUCUGUGAUAUUUGUAAAUGAGUUAUUGGUAACUGAAAUGAAGGAAAGGGAUCUGAGAUUGGCUU